GUAAGGUUUAUGAUUAUUUAUAUUAAUAUGAUUAUAUAGAGUGUAAGGUUUCUGAUUAUUUAUAUGAUUAUAUAGAGUCCUGUACAUAUUAAGAAUUAUUAUUAAAUAUGAGCUAUAUUGCAAACCAUUAAAAUAUUGUUAAGUUAUAAAUCCAACAGUUGACAAAUGUCGUCAAUAGAUGUCACAGGCCAACAAAAUUACAUCGCGGUAGCGUUGUGUGUAAAAAUUAGUAUAAGAAGUCCAAAGUAAUUAUGAAUAAAGCAAGAUCAAAGCGCAUCAGUGUACAAUUGGGAGAAUAAAGCAGAGUGUGAGCAAAAUUGGCCUAUUUAAUUUAUGUCUGACACCCAAAAGGUCAGAAGCGGGAUAAAUAAGGCUCUAGAAAACUAACCUUACUACGCCCACGGAUCGGUAAAAAACUUACGCUCAUCAACUGUGACGUGGAGGACGACACUAGCCGAGGGGAAGGGUCUAGUGCUCGGCUAGUAAGAGGAAGUGGCUUAAUGAAAAAAGGAGCCCAUGUGCUUAGUCGAGGGGAAGGACUAACACAUAGGGAAUGACCAAGGAGCAUCCGAGGCUGAGGAUGUAGGUCACAUGUGCUUAGUCGAGGGGAAGGACUAACACAUGGGAGUGACCAAGGAGCAUCCAAGGCUGAGGGUGUAGGUCAACAGGGAAGGAUUGGGAGGAUGAGCUCGCGGAUAGAGCAAGGAGCAUCCGAGGUUAGGAUGUAGGGUCCAUGUGCUUAGUCGAGGGGAAGGACUAACACAUGGGAGUGACCAAGGAGCAUCCGAGGUUAAGGAUGUAGGUCAACAGGAAAGGAUUAGGAGGAUGUGCUCGAGGAUAGAGCAUGGAGCAUCCGAGGUUCAGGAUGUAGGUCGACAGGAAAGAAUUAGGAGGAGGAGCUCGAGCAUAGAGCAAUCGGUACCAUUGGAUAAAAUGGACAAGGACACGAUGAUUCGAAGAGAACGGUUGCGUGGAAAGCGAUCGAGUGAACGACGAUCGCGUAAGCAGCGGUCGAGCAGGCAACAAUCAAGCGGCUCUGACGACAGGGACGAAUACGAAAGAAGGAGAUGGAAAACAAGGACAAGGACAGGACAGAGGAGACGGCAUGUGUCUUCCUCUUCAGGAUCUGAUAUGGGGUCACCGCAGCUUCCGCGCAAGGUUAAGCGUGGUAAGGAGGACGACGGUUCAGAUACAAAGGUAUUAGUAGAUAAAUUCUUGAAUAUUCUUGACAAAAUAAAAGGUUCAGAUAAGCCCAAACUUACGUUCAACACAAAUGUUAUCCCCGAAUUUGACCCAAUGGCAAAGGAACAAACUAUCCUUACUUGGCUGACGAAAGUGGAAGAAUGUGCUCACAUAUAUGGGUGGGAAGACGGAAAUUAUCCACUAUUCCUUGCCCAAGCUUUCUGGUGUCGCUAAAACUUGGUAUCAGGGCUUAUCUAGCCUAUUAUUUUACAUGGACUGAGUGGAAACAAAAACUUAUAGAAUCUUUUCCCCAAAGCGAGAACUAUGCUGAGUUAUUGCAUAAAAUGUUAGCAAAAACAGUUAGAUACGGUGAGUCGUUUGAACAUUACUAUUAUGCGAAAAUGAACUUGUUAAAUCGUUGCAAAAUUUAUGGCAAGGAAGUGGUAGACUGUUUGCUGUACGGGGUUGAAGAUCGUGCCGUUAAAGUGGGUGCUCAAGCCGCUCAAUUUAAGCGACCUGAGCAAGUGCUCAAAUACUUUAGAACCGUGAAGAUAGGCAAAGUUCGUGACUCCAUUAACGAUGCCAACCUGAAAAAAACAAAUCAAUCUGGCACGAGCAGGGCGGGCCCUAGUAAUAACGGAAUCCGUUGCUUCAAUUGCAAUGAAAUAGGUCACCCUAGCUUUAAAUGUACAAAACUUAUCGCGAAGUGUACGACCUGCGGGAGGAUUGGUCAUUAGGCGAUUAACUGUUUAAAAAAUAAAACUCCGAUUAAUAAAGACGAUAGUCAGGCCUUAGAUAAAAAUAAUGAACAAAAACAAGUAUCUAAUGUAACUGUCGAUGAUCGCGCUAUUGAUAAAUAUAUACUGGAUAUAAAGAUUAACAACUCAGGGGUCAAGUGUCAUGUAGAUUUAGGGAGUCAAUGUUCGUUAAUUAGACAGAGUACCGCUAAGGAGUUGAACCUGAAUAUCGAUGUGAGGGAAGGUAUGCCGGUAUUAAGAGGAAUAGGAGGAAACCUGACUUGCCCUUUAGGUGUAGCUACCGUGAGUGUAGAAGUUCAAGGAUUAAAAGAAACUAUUGAAAUAUAUGUAGUAGAAGAUUAUGUACUAAGUUACUUGGACAUUGGCAUUACUUGGACAUUCCUUUACAGAGAAGCCUGAUAUUAUAAUGACUAAGAUUCCGACUAAGAUCGUAUUUGAAAGACUCGCGUGUACUAAAAUAAGACUCAUAGUGGAAGAUGACACGGAAAUAGAUGGUAACGUUGUACAUCCCAUAAUUGUUAAUGCUGAUGGGCAGGGAAACGGUAGCAUCUACGUCCAUGGCUCGUUAAGGGGUGCUGAAGGAAAAGAGUACUAUCUCUUUCCCGGUACGUACGAGAUAAAAGACAGCCGCACAGCGCUUCUAAUUUAUAAUGCCUCGUCAAACAAGAUUUGUAUCAAGAAGGACACUCUUAACACGAGCACUGCGUAAUACGCAUCGAACACCUUUUUCCCAAUCUUGUAGCGUUCUUACCGAUAGGGGACUGGAUGAAGAGAUCAGUUGCAAUCCUGAGCUAACAAAACAGCAACGCGAAGAACUACACUUCUCAAGUGGACUCAAGGACCUUGGGUUUACCAACAUCACUGAGAUGGUAAUCGACCUUAACGACACGGAACCAGUCGUGUAUCGCCCAUGCCGUAUGUCACAUACUGAGCGACAAUUAGUAAGAGGCAUGGUUAAGGAGAUGGUAGAUAAUGGUAGAGCUAGGGAGUCAUCUUCAUCAUAUGCCAGUCCUAUAGUCCUGGUACAAAAAAAAAGAAUAGUGAGAAACGAUUCUAUGUGGACUAUCGAGCUCUAAACAGAAAGCCCAAAAAGGAACACUACCCCCUACCAAGAGUCGAGGAUCAGUUGGACCUAUUAUCCGGUAACACCCUAUUUACGUCAUUGGACCUUGCUUCCGGGUACUAUCGAACACCAGUCGCCGAGGCCUCCCGUAGUAAAACUGCCUUUGUAACACCUGAUGGGCAGCAUGAAUACAACCGCAUGCCUUUCGGACUAGUUAAUGCACCAUCUGUGUUCCAAAGGACAAUCCAUAAAAUAUUAAAGGAGGCCCAAAUUAAAUAUGCUGUUGUCUACAUGGAUGACAUACUGAUACCAUCCAAGGAUUUUAGGGAAGGCAUCCAAAGACUAGGCGAAGUUCUCACACUGAAAUUAAGUAAGUGCUAUUUCUUUUUGAAUGUCAUAGACUUUCUAGGGUUUGAAGUGACUGCUAAUGGUAUCCGCCCAGGUAGAAGUCCGAAACCGAGCUACAUACGGAGGCUUGCAAAGAAGGCCUAGCGGGCAUUUUACUGCAGCGUAACUGUAAUGGUGCAUUGCAACCAGUGUCCUACUUCAGCAGGAAAACUACCGCUGACGAACGCAAGUUUCAUUCGUACGAGCUCGAAACUUUGGCAGUCAUUGCAUCUCUCAAUCGGUUAAGAGUUUAUUUAGUGGGAAUACCAUUUAAAAUCUUGACCAAUUGCAAUGCACUCAGGUCCACUCUAACUAAACGUGACUUGAUACCUCGCAUAGCUAGGUGGUGGGUCCAACUUCAGAAGUACGACUGUACAAUCGAGUACCGGCCUGGUGUUAGCAUGGCACACGCGGAUGCCCUAAGCAGAAACCCAGUGAAUUCUUCUUCAGGUAACACAUGUACUAGAUGUUUUACAAAUACAGCAAAUCGAACAGGACUGGAUUGCGACGGUACAAAAUGCAGAUGACGAGAUAAAUAAAAUCAAAAGGAUUCUUUCUGACCCUUCAUCGGCGGAGGUAGCGGACAUACACAAAAACUACAGACUGAAGAAUGACCGUGUUUACCGCGUGGUAGGUGACAAAAUAAAAUGGCUGGUACCCAAAAGUGUACGCUGGCAAAUUUUAAAAAUGAACCACGAUGACGUUGGCCAUUGUGGUUUUGAAAGAGCCCUACAGCGCAUCCGAGGCCAUUAUUGGUUCGCGAAAAUGCGGCGUCUCGUCCGGAAGUAUGUUACCUCCUGCCUUGAGUGCGCGUACCACAAAGCUCCAGGUGAUAAACGAGAAGGAGAACUCCACCCAAUCGAAAAGAUAAAGGUACGAGUUUCACCAGUAAGACGUUCCAAGAUUUUACGACCUCUUACGGGAUCAAACAUAUUGUAAAUGCCGUUGCAACGCCUCGAGCAAACGGGCAAGUAGAAAGGUUUAAUAGAACGAUUUUAGAUGCUCUAUCGACAGCCAAUCACGGCGGCGACAAGUCGUGGGACAACCACAUCACUGAUAUACAGGUUGGUAUGAACACAGCUCGACAUAAAACUACCCAAAAGAGCCCCUCUGAGCUACUAUUUGGAGUUAACAUAAUUAGUAGUACGGAAAGCAUACUUAGUACGGUAAUCAAUGACACUCUAAAUAGGACUCCCAUUGAGGAAUUGGCGGAAGUCAGACAACAGGCUAGAAGUUAAAGAUGCAGUCAAUUUUAAUAAGCAUAGGAAACCAGCGAGGCAGUACCAAGAAGGGGAUUUAGUACGCUUAGCAAGGCAGGCUCCGCACGAUGGAAAAUCUCAAAAGCUCUCUGUUAAGUACCAAGGUCCUUAUCGUAUACUAAAGGUUCUUCGCAAUGAUAGGUUCGUGGUAGAAGAUGACUCGCAAAAAGGUAGAAGGUAUGAAGCAGUUGUAUCUAUUGAUAAGAUUCAGCCUUGGAUGUCGUUCUGUAGAGAAUUAGAGUCUGAUGAAUCUAGUAAUAGUGUUGAUGACAGUGAUUAGAUACUUGAUUACUCAGUUUAUGUUGGACAUUUAGUUACUUAAGAAAGAAAUUGUUAUUUUAAUUAUUAUUUUGAUAGAACUUAAAACCAUGGAAACGAUUUAGCGAUAGAUAUGUGUAUGUACUUAGUAUUUAUAGCAAAAAAAUGUUUAAAAAAAAAUGUUACACGUCAUAUAUAAACCUAGUGUAUAAUUAAUUGCAUUUAUUAUUAUUAUUAUUUUGUAACACAUAUAUUUUGUUUUUUUUUCUUUCUUGAUCUCAAAGCGAAGGGUCUCGCUUUAGGUAGGAUGGCCGAGCUGUAAGGUUUAUGAUUAUUUAUAUUAAUAUGAUUAUAUAGAGUGUAAGGUUUCUGAUUAUUUAUAUGAUUAUAUAGAGUCCUGUACAUAUUAAGAAUUAUUAUUAAAUAUGAGCUAUAUUGCAAACCAUUAAAAUAUUGUUAAGUUAUAAAUCCAACAGUUGACAAAUGUCGUCAAUAGAUGUCACAGGCCAACAAAAUUACAUCGCGGUAGCGUUGUGUGUAAAAAUUAGUAUAAGAAGUCCAAAGUAAUUAUGAAUAAAGCAAGAUCAAAGCGCAUCAGUGUACAAUUGGGAGAAUAAAGCAGAGUGUGAGCAAAA